UGCCAGCAGCCGCGGUAAUACGGAGGGGGCAAGCGUUGUUCGGAAUUACUGGGCGUAAAGGGCGUGUAGGCGGGACGUCAAGUCAGGGGUGAAAGGCCUGGGCUCAACCCAGGAACUGCUUUGAAACUGACGACCUUGAGUACGGGAGAGGAUAGCGGAAUUCCCAGUGUAGAGGUGAAAUUCGUAGAUAUUGGGAAGAACACCGGUUGCGGAGGCGGCUAUCUGGCCCGUUACUGACGCUGAGGCGCGAAAGCGUGGGGAGCAAACAGGAUUAGAUA
rnacentral:rRNA from 1 species